GGAUUUCCUUUAGGCUGGGGGAAGGGCCUAUCACACCCCCAGGCGACCUCGUCCCUACGUCAGUGGACUUGCAGCCCAGACCUCUCCUGUGUGGCUCUGCCUACUCAGCAUCUUCACCUGGACGCCUCCCGGGCCCCUCAAGGUGGCCACGCCGGCCCAGGGCCCGUAACUCCGUGUCAGGCCACUCUUCAUCCAGCUGUGAGAGAGAGAACACAGAGGAAGAGGGAGACGCAGGCUCCCUGCCAAGCAGAGAACCCAAACCAGGACUCUGGGAUCAUGAUCUGAGCCGAAGGCAGACUCCCAAUCGAGCCAUCCAGUCCAGCUGGAAGAACUUGAAAGGUAGAGGAAGAACCUUCCCUUCCCUCCGGUUGGCGUAGCCAGUGGAUACUCAUUCGCAGGACAGCGGUGGAUACUCAUUCGCAGGACAGCGGCUCGCCCAGAGAUCCUGGGACAGCUGACGCACAGCCAGCAGAAGAAAAUGGCCCCUCAGUGCCAGACGUUUGCCAUCCUGACGUCCUUAUAACGUGGCAAAGGUCUGCUCCAGAAUCAGAGAAAUUAAACUAAAACGGUUGGGCUAUGGGAAACCCAGGAUGGCCACUUGAUUCUUCCUCGCUCCCUAACAAACCCUGUUUUUGGUUUUUGCCGUCCUGCGCCCAUCAAAGUACAUUCAAGAUGACUCAAAUUAUAAAAAGACAUUAGUGGGGAAAGGUCUAUAAAAUUACAAAAACAGUCGUUUAGCAGUGUCUGACUGGUCGGGUCCACAAUCCUGAAAAAACCGUUUUUGUCCCCAGAGGCCUCAGACCUCCCGCUCUGGACCCUUUGAACACCAGUAGCUGCGCCGCAUUCAACUGCCUCUUGGUCCAGGUGCCCAAUAGUCGUGUUAUUGCACGUGUGUUUUCUGGAAGGGUUGAAGCCUUUCCGUCCCCCAAGACUGUUGUCCUCACAGUAGGAAAUAAAAAAACUAUUAAAAGUGUUUCCCACUUGGGGUAUACCUUGUGUAAUCUCCAGUGAUCGAGGCACCCUCUUCACCUAACGAGAACCUUGCAGAUUUCCUGAAACUCUAUCCGUGUACAACCUUGUUGUUUCAUGCCAGUGUGACCAGCCACUGUGAGUCUUUUGUGUCUCGUGCUCCAGCCUGUUAUGAACAGCCUCAAAAAACCAUCUGGGAUCCCAGUUCAAAGGGUCCUGUUAGGCACAGUCUAGAGCCUGGUGAUGAUUAGAGAUUCUGGAAACAUCACCAGAGAAAAACAGCUCUCGGGACCUUCGGGAAUGCUCCUGACCACUGACACCGCUGUGCAACUAGAAGGCACUGAGCCUUGAGUCCCCAUCACACAACUGAAGAAAGCUCCACUGGAGCCCUGGUCCUGGACAAUCACCCUGACCAGGGAGAUAAACACUGGCCACCCAAGUAGACUGCCUCCACUCACGACGCCAGAUCAAGACUUCACACCGGAACUGAACAGGACACCAUUUGCCCUCUUUUCCUUCCCCUCCCUCUGGCAUUGGCUUGGCGAGAUAACACCCUUAUCUUUCCCUCCCAGGCCACCGCUCAGGGGGCAACUUCUGGAAUUCAGAGCCACCUUUUAUUUCAGGCUAGGAGAAAAUCACACUUUUACCAUGGGUCGAGUCCUGUGAAUUUACAUCGUGAGUUCGAAGGGAACUACCAGGAGGCUUUUGUGAUUCAUGACUCUCCUUUUGGCAGAUCCCUACUUCCAGGGAUAAAUAUAAUGAGGCUCUAAUCAGGAACUUCUCCUUAAUUCUUGAAAUGUUUGCCAAAUUGCCACUAAAGCAAGAACUGCCCAACAACGAUCCCUGGACUCUCUGGCCAAAGUUGUUCUCCAUAACAGAACAGCCGUUGAUUGUCUUUCAGCCGAGCACGGAGGUGCCUGCUGGAGCCAAUCCCACCUGCUCCACCUGGAUUCACCGUUCUGGGAAAUUUGAAACUCGAUUACAUCAAAUCACAAAGUAAGCCACUUGCCUUAAAAAGAGGACUCCUUCCAUGGGGUCUUUGAUUUAUUUGAUUUUGAUUGGAUUGGAGAGCAUAGCUUCAAAGUACCCUGCAAACACUGGGAAUUACCAUAAUCAUAAUAAUCUCCCUGGUGCAUUAUAUUCUCUCAAAAAUUUUAAAGGCAUGUUUGCAGUCACUUAACCACCAAGCACAUGGUCCCCUCAGACUGGACCAGCAACAAGGUACAGAGAGGACCACUGACUUAAAGGAACAUAAACCUGAAGUCAUAACCUGUGAGUCUCGCAGAGAGAAAGCCAAAACAUCAGGACCUGAGAAUGCCGAAGAUCAGCAGAGGCUCUGAGAACUACAGAGCAGUAGCUGAGAGGAAUGAAUGAAACCUUUAAUCAGUCAACGUAGAAUCUCCUCGGCGAUACUUGGCAAUUUCCUGAGAGGCCCCUUCAGCUCCCCUUAGGAGGGCAAACUUGCCUAAACACUGCAUUCCCUGCUAAUAAAUUCGUCUUUGUUUAUGCCUCUGCUUUAAGAACCUUUCUCUCGGUCGGCUCGGCAGAGCUCCCCUGUCCUUGCUAGGUGGGAUGCUGCCCAACUCCUGGAUUGUUUAAUAAAGCCAAUUAGACCUUCCAAUUUACUCAGCUGAAUCUUGCUUCUUGAACACCACGACCCGGGCCCCACCCUCAAGGAGCCCGCGGUCUGCAUAGACCGCCUCGCAGGACAAAGGUGGAUGAUAAAUGCCGGACAUUGUCAAGUCACGGAGCACCCGACCUCCUGUCUUUGCAGCAGAACCCACGGCGGGACUCAGGGCUGCGAGUUCUACGGGGCCAGGGGCGAGGCAGAACCAGACGUCGGUCCAGACAGCGAGUCGCUGUGCCGCCGGUGGCUGCAGGCAGAGUGGCUCCCUCAGCGCCCACUCCCCCCGGCCCUGGACUGGACUUCGCAGAGCCCAGGUCCACGGCGUCACCCACGCUGGGCAAGCUAGGGGCGGAAGUGAAGCGGCCGCCAGGCCAGCCCCUCCCCUGAGCUCUCCCUCUCGCCUUCUCUCUGAAUCCGCCCCCUGCCCCCCAUACACACCCGAAGUGCCGCCCUCCAGCUCCGGGCAGCACACCUGGACGCUCAAGACACCUGGCCCCGCACAAACCGUCCCUCGUAAGGACGGACGCACCUCUUCAGGCUUGACACUUAACAAGGCAGCUGUGUACCCUUACAGCUGUCCCCACCAGCCUCUGAGAAGAGCAGAGGCCAGCUGCUGCCUGCAAACUUCUGCAGCCUGGCCUACAUCGGCCUCCCCCUCCGCCCGCUGUCCUGGGACCACAGAAGCGGCAGGACGUGAAGGGCUUCUGGGGAGGCGGCCACGGGCAGGAGGGGCUCGGGACGAACGCAAACUCAAGUCCCACGAGCUCUCACAGGCCACAGCGCCGCCGUCAGUCUUGCCAGAGGCAGGCUCUCUCCUCUAGAACAGUGUUUUCCAAGCGUUUUUCCAACCAUGACCCGAAUAAGAAUUAUAUUUAACAUUGUGAACCAAUCUGUUCAUAUGCACAUACCCAUAUCUGAAACAAGAUUAUAAAAUCACACU